UACGUAGGGGGCAAGCGUUGUCCGGAAUUAUUGGGCGUAAAGAGCGCGUAGGCGGUCCGAUAAGUCGGCUGUGAAAGUCAGGGGCUCAACCCUUGAAAGCCGGCCGAUACUGUCGGACUAGAGUCCGGAAGAGGCAAGUGGAAUUCCCGGUGUAGCGGUGAAAUGCGCAGAUAUCGGGAGGAACACCAAUGGCGAAGGCAGCUUGCUGGGACGUUACUGACGCUGAGACGCGAAAGCGUGGGGAGCAAACAGG
rnacentral:rRNA from 1 species